rnacentral:lncRNA from 1 species
AAUGAAUUUUCCUCCGCAUCUUGGAAGUUGGGGGAAAAAGAAAAUCGCUAUCUUUAGAGAUGUUGGUGUCCCACAUCCUGUUGGUCUCGUCUCUCCGGGACUGUGGCCCUCCAGGAGAAAUUCCCUUCUGAAGGAGAAGCAACAGCCUAGAGGACCUCUUAGAAAGGAACGACUUGUCUUUGGAAAAGACUCAGAAGAGCCCGUUAACUUGGCUUCCUCACUUCUGCUCAUCAUGUGAGUACAAUUUAUAUUUCUAACUAUUAUGCAAGUGUCAUUAAGCAGCGUUUUCCCCAGGUUUCUAUGGAGGAACUGCUUGCUUGAUCUUUGCGACGUUGGUCCUCUUUUAGAAUUAACCACGGAAAAACUUGAUGACACUUCUGAGCUUCUUGUAAAAUUUAUCUUCAGG